GAUGAAGAACGUAGUGAAAUGCGAUACUUGGUGUGAAUUGCAGAAUCCCGUGAACCAUCGAGUCUUUGAACGCAAGUUGCGCCCGAAGCCAUUAGGCCGAGGGCACGCCUGCCUGGGCGUCACACGUCGUUGCCCCCCCAUCUACUCCUUCGGGAUUGCGGGGGGCGGAUGAUGGCCUCCCGUGCGCCUCGUCGCGCGGUUGGCAUAAAUGCCAAGUCCUCGGCGACGCACGCCACGACAAUCGGUGGUUGCGAAACCUCGGUUGCCCGUCGUGUGCGGUCGUCGCGAAUCGAGGGCUCGAAAAAAUUGUCGGGCUCCGGCUCGGCUUACAACGCGACCCCAGGUCAGGCGGGGUUACCCGCUGAAUUUAAGCAUAUCAAUAAGCGGAGGA
rnacentral:misc_RNA from 1 species